rfam:Oryza nivara chromosome 2, whole genome shotgun sequence.
AAAAAGACAAACUCUAAGUUUCCGUGUCCAAUGUUUGACUGUCCGUCUUAUAUGAAAUUUUUUUAUGAUUAGUAUUUUCAUUGUUGUUAGAUGAUAAAACAUGAUUAAUACUUUAUGCAUGACUUAUCUUUUUAUUUUUUUCAUAAUUUUUUCAAAUAAGACGGACGGCCAAAUGCUGGACACGGAAACUCAGGGUUUGCCUUUUU